CCCUUUCAAGGCAAAUUGCUGCAAUACUUUGUAUCCUGCAAGUAUUGCACUUUUUUGCUUUGAAAGGU
rfam:Branchiostoma floridae genomic scaffold BRAFLscaffold_109, whole genome shotgun sequence.